GAUGAACGCUAGCGGCAGGCUUAACACAUGCAAGUCGAGGGGUAUAUAGGAGCUUGCUUUUAUAGAGACCGGCAAACGGGUGCGGAACACGUACGCACUCUGCCCUUAUCUUGGGGAUAGCCCAUAGAAAUGUGGAUUAAUACCCAAUAGUAUAUUUGGAUGGCAUCAUUUAAAUAUUAAAGAACUUCGGAUAAGGAUGAGCGUGCGUAAGAUUAGCUAGAUGGUGAGGUAACGGCUCACCAUGGCAACGAUCUUUAGCUGAUGUGAGAGCAUGAUCAGCAACACGGGCACUGAGACACGGGCCAGACUCCUACGGGAGGCAGCAGUGAGGAAUAUUGGUCAAUGGACGGAAGUCUGAACCAGCCAUGCCGCGUGAAGGAUGAAGGCGUUCUGCGUUGUAAACUUCUUUUAUCAGGGAAGAAACCACAGAUUUCUAUUUGUGUUGACGGUACCUGAGGAAUAAGCACCGGCUAACUCCGUGCCAGCAGCCGCAGUAAUAC
rnacentral:rRNA from 1 species